rnacentral:rRNA from 1 species
GUGUCAGCCGCCGCGGUAAUACGAAGGGGGCUAGCGUUGUUCGGAAUUACUGGGCGUAAAGCGCACGUAGGCGGGUUUGUAAGUAGGGGGUGAAAUCCCAGGGCUCAACCCUGGAACUGCCUUCUAGACUGCAAGCCUGGAGGUCAGGAGAGGCGAGUGGAAUACCGAGUGUAGAGGUGAAAUUCGUAGAUAUUCGGUGGAACACCAGUGGCGAAGGCGACUCGCUGGACUGAUACUGACGCUGAGGUGCGAAAGCGUGGGGAGCAAACAGGAUUAGAUACCCCUGUAGUCC